GAAACACAGAAUCAACUUAUAACAUGAUAUAACACAAGUCCAUGUCAGCACACUUGCUAUACUAAGUUACAGUCUGGUGAAAAGAGCUAGCAAGCCCUAGCACCUGCUAAGUGGAGGACAUGAACCUUAUAUGAGCAAGGAAGACUGAGUCUCCACCAACCCUUAGUACAACGUGAAGCGCUUUAUAACCUGCCACAACAGUUUGGAUCUCAUAGAGCUGACCACUGUUUUCUGCCUGUUGUCAUGCACCUGCUGUACGUAUCAGAAUAACACAGGUUUCUUCUUCCCUGUCCUGAAACCAUAAACACUCAUCUUGCAAUUAUCUGUCAGGAUGGAUGGUUGCAGCUUAUUGCAAACCCACAUAUUAUAAGUUUUCUUUCCUAUUCCUACCAUGAUCAGAGUGAUCAUGAAAACAUUUCUUCUUUUUUUUUUUUUUUCCCCACUCCUCUGACUUUUCACACGGGAGCAACGAUCAUUGUGAGUCACUGAAUCUGACCUGAUGAAGCGUCAAACUUCAAGAACUAUAUGAAAUUCUCCAUUGCUAAUAAGCAAAUUGCUACAUAACAAAAGGAACUGCCAUGGCAGUAAUCUCAUUCAUUGUCAAGAGAACAGUGGGUAUUAGCAUUUUUAAGAUUGUAGUCCUACAAAGCCUCAGGACCAACCCCUGGGUGACCCAACACUGGAUGCAAAGAAGGAAAAUCAAAGGUGGAGACUGACAAACCCUGAGGAUUUAAGACUUGCAGAAUGAGAUUGAAUUUAACCUUCAGAAGCACUUCCUUACAUGAGAUAAUAAAUCUCUUUUUGAGGCGCUCAGAUACAGUGCUGUGAUACGAACAUCACAAAGAAGCCUGCACUUCACAGGGAUGAACUUCAGCUAAUCAGUUCUCUCCAAACUUCUGCUGCAGAAACAAUGGUUUAAAAUGGGACCUUUCCCACCUUGAAGUGGAUUUGAAGCAAGCCUAAGAACUCCUCAGCUUUUUGAGCUUACAGUUACGUCUGCAAAGUGCAAAAAGCUCAAAGCUUUUUAAUUGAAAACUUACAAACUGCUUGGAGACUUGGCUGUGAGCUGUCACAUAAGCAGUCAGCUGUGAAAAAAGAACAUCACUGAAGAUGGAAGAAUUGACUCAGGACCUCAAUAAGAAGCAAGAUCAUUUUCAGAGAGCUUUUUCAACCCUGUUCUGAUCAAGUUGUUA